rnacentral:rRNA from 1 species
GACGAACGCUGGCGGCGUGCUUAACACAUGCAAGUCGAACGGAAAGGCCCUGCUUUUGUGGGGUGCUCGAGUGGCGAACGGGUGAGUAACACGUGAGUAACCUGCCCUUGACUUUGGGAUAACUUCAGGAAACUGGGGCUAAUACCGGAUAGGAGCUCCUGCUGCAUGGUGGGGGUUGGAAAGUUUCGGCGGUUGGGGAUGGACUCGCGGCUUAUCAGCUUGUUGGUGGGGUAGUGGCUUACCAAGGCUUUGACGGGUAGCCGGCCUGAGAGGGUGACCGGCCACAUGGGGACUGAGAUACGGCCCAGACUCCUACGGGAGGCAGAAGUGGGGAAUAUUGCACAAUGGGCGGAAGCCGGAUGCAGCAACGCCGCGUGCGGGAUGACGGCCUUCGGGUUGUAAACCGCUUUCGCCUGUGACGAAGCGUGAGUGACGGUAAUGGGUAAAGAAGCACCGGCUAACUACGUG